UCAAGCUCCUUGUGGUGCUCUAAGCACACAGUGCGUUCAACAUGACUGUUUAUUUGGCAGUUAGAAUGCCAUUUCCAUUGGUUCCGGGACAACCACCGUGUUAGAUGACUUUCCUGUAACUUAAGAGCAACAACAUACAACACAACAGAUUAGCAGACCUCAACCAAGUGUGGCGACGGAUAGACACUGCUGUGGCCAUGGACCUAGAUUCUGUUUCUACAAGAUGUUGGCUGUGCUAAGAUGUUGCUUUGUAAUAUCAAUAGACUUGGCAAAGGCCUGCUUGAUUUUACACUGAAAGUCCUCUGCUGCCAAGUAGUAUAGCAGAGUCCACCACACAUCCAGUGCAUGCAGAGUUCUCUCCAGCUGUGUUUCAGGAGUCUGAAAGAAGAAAUUAAAAUGAGGAACAACAGCAACCAUAGUACUGAGCGCUUAGGUGGUCAAAAAUAAAUUGAGAAGGAAAGAAACUGAGAAGGCGAGCCACCAGUUAUAAUGGAACUCCUGUAAAAGGCGGUUUGGUGCAGUGAGGAGCUAUAGAACACUACCCACAUAGUCCUGCAUAGGCGCGGAACCCACACUUAUGGAGGUCAUCAGAUCUCUAUCCAGAUCCCCAACUAUACUAGGCAUGUUGAGACAAAGAACCUUCCUCUCCAUGAGCUCUUCUCACUCUCACAUCCAGGUUGCAGUAACUGAAAGCAUAGUAAGCAUUCGUAUGGUUGAUGAUGUUCCAGAGCAUUCAGGCUGAUACACUAGGCAAGUUCUGAGUCCCCAGCAACCAUCACGACCUGAAGAUUUUAUCACUGUCUCACUAUGCUGGCCAUUGUGAAUAAAGGAAGCUGGUUUACCCAACCCUCUACACAGCCCACAGUCUCCGGAACUCUUCAGUUCUCCCCAUGCCCUUGUCGCUGUGAACCUUGAUAAACUAUCUACAGAAUUCUGAAAAAAUAUCCAACGUUUGAAGAUAGCAACUUAUUUCUAUA